rnacentral:misc_RNA from 1 species
AAAACUUCAUUAUAAACAGGAAGGGAUACAUUGUUACAUGCCAAUCUUAUUAAGUAUGCAACUAAAAUAGUUCUAAGCAUAACUUUUGUAUUCUCCAUUUUCCAUGUAAAAUGCCAAAGGCAAAUUACUCAAACAGCUUAGAAUAUCUUGCCUAUAUUCUUGCCACCAAUUCAUGAAGCUACUAUGAAGCUGGAAAAUAUCAGAGGAUACUGAAUAACUCCUUAUCAUAUUCAUAACAUAUCCCCCAAAAUUAACCAAAUACUCCCUUGCAUUUUCCUUCUCUUGUAGACUCCCUUCUCUCAGUCUUUUGGAAUUUAUAAUAGCUUCCUCCACAUAUGCCCAAAAGCACGAAUCUUCG